GACGAACGCUGGCGGCGUGCUUAACACAUGCAAGUCGAACGCUGAAGACCUGGCUUUUGUUGGGUUGGAUGAGUGGCGAACGGGUGGGUAACACGUGAGUAACCUGCCCUCUUCUUUGGGAUAACGCCCGGAAACGGGUGCUAAUACUGGAUAUUCACUGAUCUUCGCAUGGGGGUUGGUGGAAAGGUUUGUUCUGGUGGGGGAUGGGCUCGCGGCCUAUCAGCUUGUUGGUGGGGUGAUGGCCUACCAAGGCUUUGACGGGUAGCCGGCCUGAGAGGGUGACCGGUCACAUUGGGACUGAGAUACGGCCCAGACUCCUACGGGAGGCAGCAGUGGGGAAUAUUGCACAAUGGGCGAAAGCCUGAUGCAGCGACGCCGCGUGAGGGAUGGAGGCCUUCGGGUUGUAAACCUCUUUCGCUCAUGGUCAAGCCGCAACUGUGGGUUGUGGUGAGGGUAGUGGGUAAAGAAGCGCCGGCUAACUACGUG
rnacentral:rRNA from 1 species